UGGCGGGCAGUCCGGGUGGUUCGGCGUCACCUAUAACCCGAAAUCGUCGAUACGCGGGGGGCGAAGCUGACGGAAGACCUCGGGCGCUGUGCGUUCAGUCCAGCUGCCGACUAUGAUUCUCCGUCCUGUAGGGAUAGCACCGGUCCAUGGGUCCUUCUGAGGAAUGACCCGUGUACCAUAAUUGCAGGAACCGGUUCAGGCCCGGAAGGGAGCAGACCCACUGCGGGUAACUGUCGCUUAUAGGUGUAAGGGGAGGAGAAAGCAUCGGGAAAAACUGGCGCAUAAGCCUGGGGGCGACUGCCGGCGUGCUCGCCA
rnacentral:SRP_RNA from 4 species